CACAGAUGUGAGGCUGCCGCUCGAUCUGGCGCUUUGUAGGCACUCAGGCUCGGCCCAAGGACCACCGGGCUAAUAAAUGGCAAUUCUCCUCUCGUUCCCCGGAUGCCACCUGGUGAGACCCAGCUGUUGUCCACUGCAGUUUGGCCAGGUGGGCUGGUGGCCCGAUGACUCAGGGCGUGUGUGCCCUGCAGUCGCUCUGGCAAGGACGAGAACGCCCGGGUCUGUAAGUCGUGAGCGGGUCUGUGUGCGCGCCCACGUGUGGGUGAAUGUUUCUGUCUCGCUGUGCAGGGGCUCCUCUGGGGAGAGAGUCUCUAGCAUCUGUCAGCUUUUACGUGACCGUGGCCACGCAUGAAAAACCAACAGUGAAGGAGCCCAGAGCACCGGCCUAGUAGCUGGAGUGUCCCACAAAGUCGGGACUGUUCACGCACAACAGGCCAACCGGGAACAUGGAAGGACCGUGAACAGCUGGUCGCAGACAGACAGACGUGAUAGCCAUGCUUCCGCUCUGCUUAUCAUUUGCUCCUGGACGAGAUGAGGCCACGCCGUGGUCUUUAACCACAGAUCUCUUGUAGCGAUAGGACCGGAACUGCAGAGAUGCUGCCACGGU